GAAGAUAUCCUCCGGGAAGGCGCGGCGCAGAUGCGAAGGUCCACCCUCUCUCGUGGCCUCCGACAUGGUCGCCGGCCGGAAGCUGGUGAGUCCUGGUGGUCGAUCGAUCCGUUGCCGAGCCCGAGCAGAAAGGGCAAUGCGAUAGGGAAGUGGUGGGGCUGACUCGACUUGGUUGUGAUGUGAGGCGCUGCCGGCGGGGGUAUU
rnacentral:lncRNA from 1 species